rnacentral:rRNA from 1 species
CCUACGGGAGGCAGCAGUCGAGAAUUAUUCACAAUGGGGGAAACCCUGAUGGUGCGACGCCGCGUGGGGGAAUGAAGGUCUUCGGAUUGUAAACCCCUGUCAUGUGGGAGCAAAUUAAAAAGAUAGUACCACAAGAGGAAGAGACGGCUAACUCUGUGCCAGCAGCCGCGGUAAUACAGAGGUCUCAAGCGUUGUUCGGAAUCACUGGGCGUAAAGGGUGCGUAGGCUGUUUCGUAAGUCGUGUGUGAAAGGCGCGGGCUCAACCCGCGGACGGCACAUGAUACUGCGAGACUAGAGUAAUGGAGGGGGAACCGGAAUUCUCGGUGUAGCAGUGAAAUGCGUAGAUAUCGAGAGGAACACUCGUGGCGAAGGCGGGUUCCUGGACAUUAACUGACGCUGAGGCACGAAGGCCAGGGGAGCGAAAGGGAUUAGAUACCCUAGUAGUC